AGUGAACGCUGGCGGUAGGCCUAACACAUGCCAGUCGAACGGCAGCACAGUAAGAGCUUGCUCUUACGGGUGGCGAGUGGCGGACGGGUGAGGAAUACAUCGGAAUCUACUUUUUCGUGGGGGAUAACGUAGGGAAACUUACGCUAAUACCGCAUACGACCUACGGGUGAAAGCAGGGGAUCUUCGGACCUUGCGCGAUUGAAUGAGCCGAUGUCGGAUUAGCUAGUUGGCGGGGUAAAGGCCCACCAAGGCGACGAUCCGUAGCUGGUCUGAGAGGAUGAUCAGCCACUCUGGAACUGAGACACGGUCCAGACUCCUACGGGAGGCAGCAGCGGGGAAUAUUGGACAAUGGGCGCAAGCCUGAUCCAGCCAUACCGCGUGGGUGAAGAAGGCCUUCGGGUUGUAAAGCCCUUUUGUUGGGAAAGAAAAGCAGCAGGUUAAUACCCCGCUGUUCUGACGGUACCCAAAGAAUAAGCACCGGCUAACUUCGUG
rnacentral:rRNA from 1 species